ensembl:snRNA U6 U6 spliceosomal RNA
GGCUGAGUGCUUGUUACCAAAAUUGCAAUGAUACAUGGGAGAUUAGCAUGGCCCUACACUAAGAUGAUGAUUGGAGAAGUAGUCCAUAUUUAA